rnacentral:rRNA from 1 species
UACAGAGGGGGCAAGCGUUAUUCGGAAUUAUUGGGCGUAAAGGGCGCGUAGGCGGCUUGGCAAGUGGAAGGUGAAAUCCCUCGGCUUAACCGAGGAACUGCCCUCCAAACUGCUUCGCUUGAGACCGGGAGAGGUGAGUGGAAUUCCCAGUGUAGCGGUGAAAUGCGUAGAUAUUGGGAGGAACACCAGUGGCGAAGGCGGCUCACUGGACCGGUACUGACGCUGAUGCGCGAAAGCGUGGGGAGCAAACGGGAUUAGAUACCCCGGUAGUCCACGCCGUAAACGAUGAGUGCUUGGUGUAGCGGGUAUCGACCCCUGCUGUGCCGAAGUCAACACAUUAAGCACUCCGCCUGGGGAGUACGGUCGCAAGGCUGAAACUCAAAG